rnacentral:rRNA from 1 species
AGAGUUUGAUCCUGGCUCAGAACGAACGCUGGCGGCGUGCCUAACACAUGCAAGUCGAACGGAGAUAAGGGGCUUGCUCCUUAUUUUAGUGGCGCACGGGUGAGUAACGCGUGGAUAAUCUACCUUGGAAUCUGGGAUAACAUUUCGAAAGGGGUGCUAAUACCGGAUAAGACCACGAGCUCUUUGGAGUUUGCGGUAAAAGGGGGCCUCUGUAUAUGCUUCUGUUUCAAGAUGAGUCCGCGUACCAUUAGCUAGUUGGCAGGGUAAUGGCCUACCAAGGCGACGAUGGUUAGCUGGUCUGAGAGGAUGAUCAGCCACACUGGAACUGAGACACGGUCCAGACUCCUACGGGAGGCAGCAGUGGGGAAUUUUGCGCAAUGGGGGAAACCCUGACGCAGCAACGCCGCGUGAGUGAUGAAGGUCUUCGGGUCGUAAAGCUCUGUCAGAGGGAAAGAAGUGU